rnacentral:rRNA from 1 species
UACGGAAGGCAGCAGUGGGGAAUAAUUGCACAAUGGGCGCAAGCCUGAUGCAGCCAUGCCGCGUGUAUGAAGAAGGCCUUCGGGUUGUAAAGUACUUUCAGUCGUGAGGAAGGUGUUAAGGUUAAUAACCUUAGCAAUUGACGUUAGCGACAGAAGAAGCACCGGCUAACUCCGUGCCAGCAGCCGCGGUAAUACGGAGGGUGCGAGCGUUAAUCGGAAUUACUGGGCGUAAAGGGCACGCAGGCGGUUAAUUAAGUUGGAUGUGAAAUCCCCGGGCUUAACCUGGGAAUGGCAUUCAAGACUGGUUAGCUAGAGUCUUGUAGAGGGGGUAGAAUUCCAUGUGUAGCGGUGAAAUGCGUAGAGAUGUGGAGGAAUACCGGUGGCGAAGGCGGCCCCUGGACAAAGACUGACGCUCAUGUGCGAAAAGCGUGGGGAGCAAAACAGGGAUUAGAUACC